rnacentral:rRNA from 1 species
CUAGUAUAGCACUAUACGGCGAAACUGCGAACGGCUCAUUAUAUAAGUUAUCGUUUAUUUGAUAGCACCUCUUUACUUGGGUAACCGUGGUAAUUCUAGAGCUAAUACAUGCUAAAAAUCCCGACUCCGGAAGGGAUGUGUUUUAUUAGAUUCAAAACCAAUGCCCCCUGGGCUCACUGGUGAUUCAUGAUAACCGCUCGAAUCGCACGGCCUUGCGCCGGCGAUGGUUCAUUCAAAUUUCUUCCCUAUCAACUUUCGAUGUUUGGGUAGUGGCCAAACAUGGUAGCAACGGGUAACGGAGGGUUAGGGCUCGACCCCGGAGAAGGAGCCUGAGAAACGGCUACUACAUCCAAGGAAGGCAGCAGGCGCGCAAAUUACCCAAUCCCGACACGGGGAGGUAGUGACAAUAAAUACCGAUAUAGGGCUCUUUUGGGUCUUAUAAUUGGAAUGAGUACAAUUUAAAUCCCUUAACGAGGAACAAUUAGGAGGGCAAGUCUGGUGCCAGCAGCCGCGGUAAUUCCAGCUCUAAUAGCGUAUAUUAAAGUUGUUGUGGUUAAAAAGCUCGUAGUUGAACCUUGGGCCUGGCUGGCCGGUCCGCCUCACCGCGUGCACUGGUCCGGCCGGGCCUUUCCCUCCGCGGAACCCUCAUGCCCUUCACUGGGCGUGGCGGGGAAACGGGACUUUUACUUUGAAAAAAUUAGAGUGCUCCAGGCAGGCCUAUGCUCGAAUACAUUAGCAUGGAAUAAUGAAAUAGGACGCGCGGUUCUAUUUUGUUGGUUUCUAGGACCGCCGUAAUGAUUGAUAGGGACAGUCGGGGGCGUCAGUAUUCAACUCGUCAGAGGUGAAAUUCUUGGACCGGUUGAAGACUAACUACUGCGAAAGCAUUCGCCAAGGAUGUUUUCAUUAAUCAGGAACGAAAGCUAGGGGAUCGAAGACGAUCAGAUACCGUCGUAGUCUUAGCCAUAAACUAUGCCGACUAGGGAUCGGGCGAUGUUAUUUCUUUGACUCGCUCGGCACCUUCCGAGAAAUCAAAGUGCUUGGGCU